rnacentral:rRNA from 1 species
UACGAAGGGUGCAAGCGUUGUUCGGAAUUACUGGGCGUAAAGCGCGCGUAGGCGGGUCUAUAAGUAGAUUGUGAAAUCCCUGGGCUUAACCUGGGACGUGCAGUCUAAACUGUAGAUCUUGAAUGUCUGAGAGGAUGGCGGAAUUCCCGGUGUAGUAGUGAAAUACGUAGAUAUCGGGAAGAACACCUGAGGCGAAGGCGGCUAUCUGGCGGAACAUUGACGCUAAGGCGCGAAAAGCGUGGGGAGCAACAGG